rnacentral:lncRNA from 1 species
GGAAGCUGUUUGAGUUGGAGCUUUGCCCACGUUUCCCUAACCCACCUUGUGCACCUCCUUCCACCCUGUUUUCACUUGAUAUGUUUAGGAGACAGAAACAAAAAUAAGUUGAGAAGACUGAGAUGAGUGAGAACUGGCUUUCUUCUCUUUUCCGAUUCAUAGUCAGAUGUUCAUUGCCCUGUGCCUUCUAAGUUCACAAAUCACUGACAACACAGCAGAACUGUGAAGAGAACUACUGAGCCACGGGCUUGAAGCCAGAAGACGAGCUUGAACCUACUGCUAUGCACGUCCCAUCUGCUGAUCAGACACUGGAUUGUACCAUCUUCAGAAACUGAAGAAUAAUAGGGAUUCUCUGUGACAUGCGUCAGGGAGCUAUUCAGGUGAGAAUGCCUGGGCUAUACCCACAGUGCUCUGAAAACUCAGUGUAUUCGCAGAGAAGACCUUGAGCUUUGGACUCUUCUCCUGGGCAGUGGCAGCUUCUGAGAUGGAGUGCUGGGACAGGAACUUGAAGAUUUGGAUAACUUCAAGCUCCUUCUUGGGCAUCUCUUCCACUGCCAUUAGUAGCUGAGCCAUUUAAGAUAGCAGGGUAGCCAGGUCCCAGGUGCCCCCAAUAGCUGAGCAUCAACCUAGACUCAGGCUCUCUUGGGGCACUCAGUUGGGUAGAGAGACCUUUUCCUGUACCUGGCCUACGUCCAUGAACUCCAAACUUUGGGAUGAUUGCUUUAGGCUAGCCAAGUUAACGUUUAAAGCACUAAUAAAUAAACAAAUAGAUACUCUCUGGA